rnacentral:rRNA from 1 species
UACGGAGGUGGCGAGCGUUGUCCGAAGUUACUGGGCGUAAAGCGCGUGUAGGCGGCCAUCUAAGUCGGGCGUGAAAUCCCACGGCUCAACCGUGGAAGUGCACUCGAAACUGGAUGGCUAGAGUCCUGGAGAGGAAGGUGGAAUGCUUGGUGUAGAGGUGAAAUUCGUAGAUAUCAAGCGGAACACCGGUGGCGAAGGCGGCCUUCUGGACAGUGACUGACGCUGAGACGCGAAAGCGUGGGGAGCAAACAGG